GACUGGUGACAGAGUGAGAGAGGGGGUGACUAGUGACAGAGUGAAAGAGGGGGUGACUGUCACUAGUCACCCCAUCCCUCACUCUGUCACUAGUCACCCCCUCUCUCACUCUAUCACUAGUCAC